rnacentral:rRNA from 1 species
ACGGGAGGCAGCAGUGGGGGAUAUUGCACAAUGGGGGAAACCCUGAUGCAGCGACGCCGCGUGAGUGAUGAAGUAUUUCGGUAUGUAAAGUUCUAUCAGCAGGAAAGAUAAUGACGGUACCUGACUAAGAAGCACCGGCUAAAUACGUGCCAGCAGCCGCGGUAAUACGUAUGGUGCAAGCGUUAUCCGGAUUUACUGGGUGUAAAGGGAGCGUAGACGGCAUGGCAAGCCAGAUGUGAAAGGUGGGGGCUCAACUCCCAAGCUGUAUUUGGAACUGUCAAGCUAGAGUAUCGGAGAGGUAAGUGGAAUUCCUAGUGUAGCGGUGAAAUGCGUAGAUAUUAGGAGGAACACCGGUGGCGAAGGCGGCUUUCUGGACGAUAACUGACGCUGAGGCGCGAAAGUGUGGGGAGCAAACAGGAUUAGAUACCCUGGUA